GCAUUGGUGGUUCCGUGGUGGAAUUCUCGCCUUCCAUGUGGGAGACCUGAGUUCAAUUCCAGUCAACGCA
rnacentral:tRNA from 1 species